rnacentral:lncRNA from 10 species
CCGCGGGGAGGAGGGUGCGCUUCGCAGGGCGCUCGGUACUCGGUCGGGUGCCGCAGGGGCCGCAGAGGCUGCUGAGGCGGCGCGGAUCCUGCUCUGGGAGCUGCGCUCCGUGGCCUACACCCUGGCGGGCGCGCGCUGACCCGCUUGGUUACUCCACGUUGCUGCCGCCGCCGCUUGCAAACGCUUCCAGCCUCCAGCUCCCUCCUUCUCCUGCUCCUCCUUCUCUUGCUCCAAACGCCAACCCAGCCACAGACGAUCAGCCGUCGCGGUUGCGUUCACCCCCUGCGGAUCACAACGGCAGCCCUUGCGACACCCUGGCUGGGGAGUUUUAUUCCUGAGGGGGUUGCGCAGGGGCUCCCUUGGACUCCCACCCUUUCCCAACCUCUGCUGGCUUCUCCCCAACGUGGAAUUGCUCGCUUAGGGAGCUUCUGGAGCUCCGCUCGGAGCGAACCUUCUGCUGCCAGCAGAUAACAUCACGAUCUUGCCGGGGAGGGGAGAUUUAUAAGUUCUCUCUGAACCACGUGUCUGCCUUCAACAAAGUGACGUGCUAGGAUUACAGUCAGAAGUCCUCUCGUUACUUAGACCACGAGCUCUCCCCGAACCGUUGAGGGAGUGUGGAAAUGAGGACCGCUGUGGGUAAGGGAGGAAGGAGGUGGAAUGUGCGCCCUGACAACAGUGAUUUACGUUACUCAAAGUCAACAUUUUCAUUUCGGCAUGACUCUGCAGCCAUACUGACCAGACAGAUGAUUUAAACUGGAAACUCUGUUGAAUGUACUCCCAAACCCAAGAUCUCUAUACUGUUCUCUACUUCAGAUGUUCCUGAGUUCAGAAAAGUCACAAAGAACUUUCUAUCACUUUUGGAAUUUAUACUUCAGUUGUGUAUGGGGCCUAGGUUAUUAGUAGAGCACUGAAUAAAUAAAAUAAUAAUAGCUAACAUAUACUACACUUAGUAA